rnacentral:rRNA from 1 species
UAGGGAAUCUUCCACAAUGGACGCAAGUCUGAUGGAGCAACGCCGCGUGAGUGAAGAAGGUUUUCGGACCGUAAAGCUCUGUUGUAAGUCAAGAACGGGUGUGAGAGUGGAAAGUUCACACUGUGACGGUAGCUUACCAGAAAGGGACGGCUAACUACGUGCCAGCAGCCGCGGUAAUACGUAGGUCCCGAGCGUUGUCCGGAUUUAUUGGGCGUAAAGCGAGCGCAGGCGGUUUGAUAAGUCUGAAGUUAAAGGCUGUGGCUCAACCAUAGUUCGCUUUGGAAACUGUCAAACUUGAGUGCAGAAGGGGAGAGUGGAAUUCCAUGUGUAGCGGUGAAAUGCGUAGAUAUAUGGAGGAACACCGGUGGCGAAAGCGGCUCUCUGGUCUGUAACUGACGCUGAGGCUCGAAAGCGUGGGGAGCGAACAGGAUUAGAUACCCUGGUAGUCCACGCCGUAA